GUGGCCUCCACAAUCGCCUCCUAGCCCGUCCAUUAGUCUGACCCAGCCGACUGAGCCGUCCUUCAGAAAACCCGAUCGUUGCUUUGUGUUUCAGGUAAUGAUGAUGAUGCCAAUUACUCAGUCCCAAUGCCAACUGAAUCCUAGCAGAGGUGUGGUUGCCUUUUCGGUUGUCACCGUUGGCAUCACCAGGCUUACAUCAGUGGUAUUUCAAAUGAAUGUGACAAUAAGAUGGUGAUUCUACAAAGUUUCAAAAAGUUGAUGUUGAAAGCAAUGUACAACUCACACCAACAUCUGUAAUCAAGGAAAAUAAAAGGAGUUAUUCAGUGGCUACUGUGAAGCAACAAAGGAAGAAAA